rnacentral:rRNA from 1 species
UACGGAGGGAGCUAGCGUUGUUCGGAAUUACUGGGCGUAAAGCGCACGUAGGCGGCUUACUAAGUCAGGGGUGAAAUCCUGGAGCUCAACUCCAGAACUGCCUUUGAUACUGGUGAGCUUGAGUCCGGAAGAGGUGAGUGGAACUGCGAGUGUAGAGGUGAAAUUCGUAGAUAUUCGCAAGAACACCAGUGGCGAAGGCGGCUCACUGGUCCGGUACUGACGCUGAGGUGCGAAAGCGUGGGGAGCAAACAGG